CUUCCGGCGCCCGCGCGGAUCCCGGCAGCCGCCGCUCCUGUUUCCGUCGGACGGCGAGAGCGCAGGACCAGCUUCCGGGAGGCGGUCCGCGCGUUCGCGGAUCUCUGCAGGGAAGAUGGGGAAAGUGAGGGGGCUGCGCGCCAGAGUGCACCAGGCUGCCGUGAGGCCCAAGGGGGAGGCCGCCCCGGGCCCCGCGCCCCCUGCUCCGGAGGCUGCCCCUCCGCCGGCCUCGGCCGCGGGGAAGGACUGGGCGUUCAUCAACACCAACAUCUUUGCCAGGACCAAGAUAGACGCCAGCGCCUUGGUGCAGAAGCUGGAGCUGGACGUGAGGAGUGUCACUUCCGUCAGGAGAGGUGCAGAGGCCAAGACCGUUUUGCCCAAGAAGGAGAAAAUGAAGCUAAGGCGUGAGCAAUGGUUGCAGAAAAUCGAAGCCAUAAAACUGGCUGAGCAGAAGCACAGGGAGGAGCGGAGGCGGAGGGCCACGGUGGUGGUGGGGGACCUGCACCCGCUCAGGGACGCCCUGCCCGAGCUGCUGGGGCUCGAGGCUAGCAGCCGGCGCCAAGCCCGCAGCAGGGAGAGGGAGAGCAACAAGCCCCGGCCCUCAGAGCUCAGCCGGAUGAGCACAGCCCAGAGACAGCAGCUUCUUGAGGAAGAAAGGACCCGGUUUCGGGAGCUGCUGGCCAGUCCGGCCUACAGAGCCAGACCCCUGGUGGCCAUCGGGCAGACCCUGGCCCGGCAGAUGCAGCUGGAAGGUGGCAGCCAGCUCUGACCAGGGCAGUGGGCGUGCCCCAACUCCUCAGGACACACGUGUGGGCCAGAUGCAGAGGCGCCUGGGGCCUGAGAGUCCCUGCAAGGCCGUGGAGCACAGGCCUCAUCUCCCGGUGGCCCGAGCCACUUAGGACAAAAAGCCCUGGAGCCCUGAGUGGGGAAACUGAGGCCUGAGAGGAGAGAGCCUCCCUCCCCAGCCAGCCAGCUCUGCAGCCUGCGGUCCUGGGUUCCUGUGUCCGCUGACCACAUGCCACGAUCGCAGCCUGCUGGAGAGAGGACCCUGGACGAGGUCUCUGCCCCCAGCACAAGGCCCAGUGAGUGAUUUGCUCUUGGCUUGGCCUCAGACUUGGUGGCUGAGGCUUUAGGGAGGUCGUGCUCCCUCUAUGGGCCUCAGUCGACUGUAUAAGACAGGGGAGCUGGAGUGAAUCCCUGAGCCCCUCCUGGCAGCUCUGUUCUGGGGCUUCUGUGCCCCUGUAAUGGAUGGGCUGCCUUGGUCCCACCCCCCACCUUUGGUGGCUGCUGCUCCCCACCUGUUUCCACUGGACCCUUACACAGCUAGCCAGCCUGGGCCUCCCUGCCCUGGGCAGUGGGCCCAUGGCCAAGCCCAGCCAGACUGACCCUCAGGACACUGCUGAAAGUGCCACCAGGAGGUAUCUAUGCAUGGGUGUCUCCUUUCCAAUGGGCACUGCUGCUGGUCAGGGUCAGCCAACCUCUGUGACCUGGUGCGCGGGGAGGGUUGGGGCUCCAGGCCUGCAGCCACAAGGCAGCGCCCGCCUCUGCUCAGGGUGGCACAGAGCUCUGGGAUCCCUAGGACCCAGCCCGUGGACCCCAGGCUCCGGGACGCCAUGCUGGGUCAUGUUCCUCCUCCCCAGAAGCAUCCUGGCUGCCCUGGGCCCAGUGAGAAGUGGCCAAGGACUCAGGCCAGGGGACAGCUGAGCCCAGUGGGCACUUGGGUCCACUCAGACAAGGCCCUGCCUGGGGGUGAUGCCAGCGGCCAGGGCAGUGACCGUGCUGACCACUGGCUGCUCAGGCCGGGGGGCCCCAUACUUCCCACUCAAGCUUCGGGGGGUGGGGUGGCAUCCAGAUUUAGACGAGGCAGGUGGGACCCAGAGGAGGCGCUGCAGCUGGGCACACGCCACUGACCCCUGCCGACGGGGCACCCGAGGGGCCUAGACCUUCCUGCAGCCCAAGGGAGGAAGCCCCAGGGUGUCCUGAAGUCCUCAGGGGAAAGCCUGCUGACAAGCAUCAUUGCACCUGGAAAGUCAAGACACACGGCCUCGCCCUGGCUCUCCAGGGUGUGCACACGUGUGUGUGUGUGUGUGUGUGUGUGUGGUUUUAGGGACAAGCCCAAGCAUUCUCAACAAGUACGUAGGCAUUUGCUUUUAUACGCUCACUUGUGUCAAGUAGGAAUGAAACCUGUCAUUGCAACGCUUUUAUCAGGAGCUUUUACUGACUUCCCUCUCGGUGCCCUUUGAGAAAACUGGGUGUGUGUUGGUUUUCCUGGGGGCAGGUGUGCCCCACGGCCUUGUGUUUCUGAAGUCCGAGCUCAGGCACGGGAAUUCCUGGGCUGGGCUGUACUUUGCCUGCCAGGGCCUCGUUUUGGAGUUGUCCUCUGCCUGUGAGUGAACUGGCCCGUAACCUUCUGUUCCAAUUUCAUAUUUCGGGGCAGCAGGGGUUUCCUCCUGGCUGGUGUCUAGCCUGGCUGAACAGAGGCCUGUCCUGCAGGUCGUGUCUCUGAGGCCUUGGGGUUGCGGGUUUUCAGCAGCGUCACCCAAGCUGCAGCUGGUAGGGAGGGGGACGUGCUUGCCGGCCACCUCCCUGCCCCUGUCUCGUCCUUGGCAGGUGGUCCUCCAAGGUGGGACCCCACCCUGCCUGCCCUGCUGCUCCCCGACCUGGUGCCGCAUAGAGGUCAAGACCCCUAACUUGUCCCCUCCCCGCACUGCAAACCUUGCUGGGGCCUCAGAGCCAGGCAGCCCAGGCCUGAGGGAGGCCUGUCUGAGAGCAAGGCUUCUGUGUGGCUUCUCAGGACUGACCAGGUGUCCUGUCCGUCCUUGUCCCUGCCCAGAACUGCCCCCUGGGUGGGGGUCCUGGGGUUCUUUGAGGCUGCUGCCCACUACUACCUGCUACUCCCGGGAGUCCCAGCACUGGUCUGGCCCUUGGAUGUCCUGAUGUUCGGGCCACUGUCCUGCUCCUGACAUUCCAGGAUGAGCCCAGUCCCUGUGCUCUCUGGGUUUGUGGGCCUCUGGCAAGGUUGUUCCCUUGAGUUUCUCACUAGACAGGCUCCUCCCAUCCUACCGUGGGGUCUACUCGUGUCUCCUUGUCACUGUUUGACGAAACCCUGUUUGUGGGAUUCCACGCCCUGGUGGGUGAGCGUGCAGCCGAGGUCAGCCCCCUGGGAACGGUGCACCGCAGCUGCGAUAUGCACACGUGAGGCACCCCCAGGCACGCAGGAAGGCUGGGAACAGACCCUGUGUCGCACUGAGGUGAGAGGUGCUUGGACACUCAGCCGAUGCCCUCCAGAGCCUCUGUGAGGUCAGAGAGGAGCUGCACAGCUGGCGAGAGCAUGGAAGGUGUCAGGAGUCAUGCUCCCUGGGCUCCUCUUCCCCACAAAGCCGCUCAGAAGGUGGCCAGAAACACACUGGGAGGAAAACUUCUCAUCUAAAAUGUUUUUAAUAUAAAUAGGAGAAUACAAAAUAGAUGAACUAAACAUUCAAUUCCAGACAGUAGAAAAGAAAACCACGAUAAGCCCAGAGCCCGAGGAAGCAGAGGGUUGUGCGAUGGGAGAUGAAAGCUGGGCUUGGCCUGGCAGACGGAGAACAGCCGCCGUGAUAAACCCAAGGCCGAAAACUGUCCCCAGGGAGUGGCUCGCAUGGCACCUGGGUGACCUGGCAGCUUUCUGACCUGGAGCCACCGUCCGGAAUGUGAUUCACCCUGUCUCUGCCCAGAGGAUCCGUCCCAGGAGGGUCAGGAGCAGCCCUGGGGCCGGGUGACCAUGGUGUCCCCUCUCUGCCUGGAGGAUCCAUCUCAGGAGGGUCAGAAGCAGCCCUGGGGCUGGGUGACCCUGGCAUCCCCGGACCGUUCUCUGGAGCUGGCAGCCCGGGAUAAGGCACGUGGCCUCUCUGUGUAGCACCUGUCCCUUGUGCAACACGGAUGGUGGCAGGCUCUACAUGGAGGAGGCUGGAGAGGCCUGAAGUGCCCGUGCUGCUGUGUACGUAGGACGGUGAGGCUUGGCCUGCACCCUGCAAGCAGAAGCUGAGCCCUGGGCCUGCGGGUUCCGUGGUGUGUGGGUGCAGUGCUCAUCAUCAGCCGUGACGGUCACACUGGCACUCGCUGUCUGUCACGCAUUUGCGUCCACUGUCAGCGCGUCACAGUGGCGUUUGUGGUGAGGAUGGGGCAUUGCUGUUGGCCGGUGUCUGGGAGCACUGGCUGUUGGGCUGGUCCCCCCAGGCUCACUGCUGGUGACACCGUUCACAUCCUUUCGUCCCGCGCCGGCCUUUGCUGUUUUCUCCACACGGGUGUUACGGACACUGGCCGAGAGGCGGAGCAUCUGCCCUCCUGCAGCUCGGGCUGUGCCCUGGAGGAGCGAGGGCAACAUGAGCUGAGCGCCUGGGGACUUGAGGCCUCUGUUGCACUUCCCCGGAGGCCGAGGUCCCUGGGGACCACUGACCCGCCCCCUCUGGGCCUUCACAGCGCUGCUGGUGCCGGAGGGCAGAGCUCAGAGCCGACUCUUGCCUCAUCUGCCCUCUGUUCUGAGGAGAACCUUCUGGACUGGGCCACAGGGAGUCCAGCUGAGGGUCGGAGGGUAGUCAGGGCCCCAGCUGCCCCAAGGGGGCGCUUCUCAGAGCUUUUGGAAGACACCGGAGCCCAGGGGUCUGGAUGGCCGUGGCUGAGAGGGCGUCACAUGCACCAUGUCAGGGCCAGCUGGGGUGGGAGCCUGAGGCCGGGGCGGGUGUCCGGGGUGCCCUCCACAGCUGUGCUGGGGCAAGUCUGGGGACAUCACCUCCUCAGCCCUGUCCAGGAGUGUGGACCCCAGAUACCAAUUGUCCAGGGGCCUGGGGCAUCCACAGGUCGCACGGUAGCGCUGAAAACAGGUCCCUUGCACCCAGGGCAGACCUCAGCACCAUCGGAGACGUCGCUCCUGCCCUCCUUGCACUCGGCCCGAGAGCUAAAGCUUGCUCAGCUCAGCCCCAGGAGGAAGCAGAGCCACAGCCUCCAGUACGUUGGGGUGACCCCGUCGCUGAGGGUCCCCUGGCCCAAGGCCAACGUAUGUCUUCCAGGGGAGGAGUGACCUCUGGAGCCCCCAUCCCCAGCCUCAGCCGCAGGGGAUCCGUGGGCCGGGAGCUGAAACUCAGCAGCUGCUGGGUGUGCAGGGAAAGUUGUUUAGAUAAAAUCCAAACAAGCACCUCAUAUAUUACGGGAUGCUGUAAAACAAACUUAGCCUUGUGCUAAUAUUUUGGUUUUGUUCCACUAUCCACACCUAGAAGAAUGUGAGCGCCAUCCCAGCCCGGCCGUCAGUAACAUUCCAGGAGCUUUAGGAGAGCGUCUCCCUUGCCAGUCAAGAGCCAGGCUCCACACACCUCAGUCCGGAAGGACCGCUCAGCCUUGGGCUAAAAAAGGGAAAAACCGCAAGCAGACAGCGUCCACAGCCGCGUCUCCAGGCCACGGCAGGCACCAGCAAGGCAGCUGUGAAUGGGAAGGGCAGAGGCGGCCAGAAGCUCAUGCCCUCACUGAUGCUGGCCCUGGCUGUGCUUUCCAAAAAUUAUCCCACUCAGCUCCCUGAGUCCCACGGAUCAGGCGUCCUUAGCCUGCUGUGCGGAGGGUAGGGGAGGCUGAGACACAGAAGGCCAGGCCCCCCAGGCAUGGAGCACGGCCCACGACCAGGAGCCAUGGAGUCACCCAGGCUGCACAGCUGGCGAGAGCAGCCCCAGAUGUGGCGGAGCCUCUGGGUUCAAGGCCACAGUUCCUGCUGCACCCCCGACCCUGGGCCUGCCAUGGAAGGUGUCAGGAGUCAUGCUCCCUGGGCUCCUCUUCCCCACAAAGCAGCUCAUGUAUGCGUGUGUGUGUGUGUGUGUGCACGUUUCCCUGCCUGAGCACUGAGCACGCCUCCGCACAGGCAUCUGCUGCCACCACCUCAUGGUCUCCCAGCGGCCAAUAUGAGGAGGGCAGAGGCCACCGUCUCUGGCCCAGCAGGUUGAGGGCGCCAUGACCCCUGAGGGGUGAGCAGAGCGGGGUCUGUGUGCCUCGUGGCCCCUGGGGAAUGGGCAGAGCAGGGUCUGUGUACAGGGUUCCUUGCCGGGCACGUGGCCAGCACUGCAGGAGCCGGCAUUGUGGCAGCCCGGAGGCCCUGACCCCAUGUAGACGUUUUUGGUGCAGCCCUGCCCACGUGGUCUUAGGGUGACCGUGUGACCACAGCCCACGGCAGGCACAAGGGAGGCCACUUCCAGACCUAGGCGGUUAGACUGUGGCUUCUGGCACCUGGAGGAGACUUGGCAGCCUCGGGGUGCCACGUGGUCAGGGGCUGCAGCCUCCCCACAGCCCUGUGAGCCCUGUCCUGGACGUGGGACUGCCUGUGGCUGCCACCUGAGCCGCAGCCACCAGCCACGCUGCCCCAGAAAUGGGGGAGCUAACACGUGGAGGCCUUUUUAAGCUGCUAAGUUUUGGGGUUAUUUGCUACACAGCUAUAGAUGUCUGAUACGCCGUGGGGUGUGCCCUGAAUGUGGGGUCUGGUUGGCCCUAGGUUAGCGUCAAGCUUUGGGCAGCCAGGGCACCAAAGCCCCCACCCCUGCCGACUGUGGCCGUGCACCUGCAGGACCAGUUCCACCGCUGUGUGGGCCUCGCCUCUGGACACGGGUCCCAGGACCCCGCCACUGAGGCUGGCCUGGCUCCGUGUCCUCCCACCCACUCCCGUUCAGUGCUGCCAGGCGCCGUGCCGUCUGCUGCCCACCAGGACCUGGCUUCUGGCAGGCCUGAGCCCCCUCCCCAUCUCCCUUCCCCUCCCUGAUGCCCCCUGGGCCCAUGGGCCCAGGCUGCUGAGGGUGACUUCUUCACACCCAGACUCUGGGCUCCGGUUCCUCACCCCGUCCCUGGGACUUCCUCCUGGUCACACCGUCCUUCCAGCAGUGCUCCCAACACACAUGGCCAUUCCUGGGGAGUCUUCCAGGCAGUCCUGCCCACCAUCUCCACCCACCUCCUUCCCACCUGCUCACCUCAAGGUCUUGUUCCCAGCAUACGGCCCUGCUGCUGGCCUGGGAGGAGACCUGACGCCUCCAGGGCCACUGUUAGCCUCCCCGGGACACACUGCUGCCAGCCUCGCUUUGGAGUCUACCCCUGUCCUGUCCCCACCUGCCCCGUCCCCACCUGUCCUGUCCCCACCUUCCCCGUCCCCACCUGUCCUGUCCCCACCUGCACCAUCCCCCCACCUGCACCAUCCCCCCACCUGUCCUGAUUCUGGUGAGCCUGUCAGGUGACAAACCCUGGCCGUCUCCUCCAUGGGGCACCUGGUGAAGCUGAGGGAGGACUCUGGAGCUGGGACUCAGUUUCCCCUCCUAGGGGCCACGAACUGGUCUGGAUGUUACAGUCAUGGGGCUGCUGAGGGAGGACAGGUCGAGGGCACCAUCUAGGGUGAGUCUUGGUCGGCUGGCAGAGGGCUGGCCCAGGGAGCCCCAUCCCUCCCUGAGGGCCCCGCCUGCCCAGUACUGUGGCCCGUGGUCCGGGUUUGGCCUGCCCACCAGAUCCAGUCCUUUGGCACCGUGUCCCUAGGGCCCUGGGCUGUGAGGAGGCGUGAAGGGGAAGGAAGGACGUUUGGGAGGGGGGGCUGUCACACAUGGGAGCAUCGCUGUUGGAGAAGGUUUCCUAUAAAUGCAGCUCUGUUCAUGGAUGUUCUAAAUGGAACUGCCAGCUGGCUUUUGGUUUGUGAGUCUUCAUUAAAGAUUACGUUUCUGUUCAGUUA